AGUGAACGCUGGCGGUAGGCCUAACGCAUGCAAGUCGAACGGCAGCACAGUAAGAGCUUGCUCUUACGGGUGGCGAGUGGCGGACGGGUGCGGAAUACAUCGGAAUCUACUUUUUCGUGGGGGAUAACGUAGGGAAACUUACGCUAAUACCGCAUACGACCUACGGGUGAAAGCAGGGGAUCUUCGGACCUUGCGCGAUUGAAUGAGCCGAUGUCGGAUUAGCUAGUUGGCGGGGUAAAGGCCCACCAAGGCGACGAUCCGUAGCUGGUCUGAGAGGAUGAUCAGCCACACUGGAACUGAGACACGGUCCAGACUCCUACGGGAGGCAGCAGUGGGGAAUAUUGGACAAUGGGCGCAAGCCUGAUCCAGCCAUACCGCGUGGGUGAAGAAGGCCUUCGGGUUGUAAAGCCCUUUUGUUGGGAAAGAAAAGCAGCAGGUUAAUACCCCGCUGUUCUGACGGUACCCAAAGAAUAAGCACCGGCUAACUUCGUG
rnacentral:rRNA from 1 species